rnacentral:rRNA from 1 species
AUUGAACGCUGGCGGCAUGCUUUACACAUGCAAGUCGAACGGCAGCGCGGGCUUCGGCCUGGCGGCGAGUGGCGAACGGGUGAGUAAUACAUCGGAACGUGCCCAGUAGUGGGGGAUAGCUCGGCGAAAGCCGGAUUAAUACCGCAUACGACCUGAGGGUGAAGGCGGGGGAUCUUCGGACCUCGCGCUAUUGGAGCGGUCGAUGGCAGAUUAGCUAGUUGGUGGGGUAAAGGCCUACCAAGGCGACGAUCUGUAGCUGGUCUGAGAGGACGGCCGGCCACACUAGGACUGAGACACGGCCCAGACUCCUACGGGAGGCAGCAGUGGGGAAUUUUGGACAAUGGGCGAAAGCCUGAUCCAGCAAUGCCGCGUGUGUGAUGAAGGCCUUCGGGUUGUAAAGCACUUUUGGCGGGAACGAAAAGGACUGUGCCAAUACCACGGUUCGAUGACGGUACCCGCAGAAUAAGCACCGGCUAACUACGUG